rnacentral:rRNA from 1 species
CCUAAAAUCUAGCUCACCUCCACAACACCUAUGCCACCCCAAACCUAUUUUUCUGCAAAUAAAACAUUUUAACAGUUUAGUACAGGAGAUCGAAAAAUUUCUAGACGCUUCAGAUAAAGUACCGCAAGGGAAUGAUGAAAUAGUAGUGAAAAAACCUUAAAGCCUAAAACAGCAGAGAUAUUCCCUCGUACCUUUUGCAUCAUGGUCUAGCUAGUUUAACCAAGCAAAAAGUAACUUUAAGUUUGACACCCCGAAACUAAGCGAGCUACUUCAGAACAGCCCCAGGGGGCCAACCCGUCUCUGUUGCAAAAGAGUGGGAAGAUUCUUAAGUAGAGGUGAUAUGCCUAUCGAGCUUAGAGAUAGCUGGUUGCUCAGGAAAAGAGUUUUAGCUCUACCUUAAGUUUUUUAAUUACCCUAAACAAACCAUUAAACUUAAGAGCUAUUCAAAUAAGGCACAGCUUGUUUGAUACAGGAUACAACCUCACAGAUUGGGUAAAUAUAGGAUUUCUAAACGAAGUGGGCCUAGAAGCAGCCACCUUUAAAAUAGCGUUAUAGCUUGAUUACAAAAACCUCAAAUCCCUUACAUCCUAAACAACCCCUCACCCAUACUGAGCUAUUUUAUAUAUCUAUAAAAAUUAUAAUGCUAGAACGAGUAACAAGAAGAUGACCUUCUCCAAAAUGCAAGCAUAAACCAAAACGGACAACACAUUGGUAAUUAACGUAAAUGAAUACAAUAUAGCAACCCUCACUAGAAAACCCUAUAUUACCCCACUAACGUUAACCUUACACUAGAGCAUUACAGGAAAGAUUAAAAGAGAAAGAAGGAACUCGGCAAACCUUAGCCCCGCCUGUUUACCAAAAACAUCGCCUCUUGCCCCCCAUAAGAGGUCCAGCCUGCCCGGUGACAUAGUUUAACGGCCGCGGUACCCUAACCGUGCGAAGGUAGCAUAAUCACUUGUUCUUUAAAUAGGGACUUGUAUCAACGGCAUCACGAGGGCUGUACUGUCUCCUUUCUCUAAUCAGUGAAACUGAUCUCCCCGUGAAGAAGCGGGGAUUUACCUAUAAGACGAGAAGACCCCAUGGAGCUUUAAGUUAAGUAUUUAACCCACGCCCACACAUCCACUAAGCUAUAAGGCCCUAAAUACUGACUUUAGGUUGGGGAGACCGCGGAGUAUAACUCACCCUCCACGACUAACGGGCUUCGCCCUUAUCUACGAAUGACACUUCUAAGAAUCAGUAAACUGAUGUUUAAUGACCCGAUAAUUCGAUCAACGAACCAAGUUACCCUGGGGAUAACAGCGCAAUCUACUUCAAGAGUCCUUAUCGACAAGUGGGUUUACGACCUCGAUGUUGGAUCAGGGUAUCCCAGUGGUGCAGUCGCUAC